UACGUAGGGUGCAAGCGUUGUCCGGAAUUAUUGGGCGUAAAGGGCUCGUAGGCGGUUUGUCGCGUCGGGAGUGAAAACCUCGGGCUUAACUCGGGGCUUGCUUUCGAUACGGGCAGACUAGAGGUAUGCAGGGGAGAACGGAAUUCCCGGUGUAGUGGUGAAAUGCGUAGAUAUCGGGAGGAACACCAGUGGCGAAGGCGGCUACCUGGCCCAUUCUUGACGCUGAGG
rnacentral:rRNA from 1 species